rnacentral:misc_RNA from 1 species
AGAGGAAUGGAAUGAUACGCUUGAUACGCCAGAUGUUGAUUAUUUAAAUGAUGCAUACCUCUCAAAACAUGAAAGUGCGAUUUUAGGCUGGCCAUUAUGGUUGACUACCUCAUCACUGGUUAGGCAAACAUGAGCUCGGUGUCUGCACCUCGGUCGUUGUUUGUAGUCAAUAGGUUGUCAGUGCAUGAAGGCAGCUGGAGGAAAAUUAUGGAACGGGAUUGCCAGG